CCGGUACAGUGGCGCACGGGUGAGUAACACGUGGGUAAUCUGCCUUCGAGCGGGGGAUAACAUUCCGAAAGGAGUGCUAAUACCGCAUAAGACCACGCCCUCGAAAGAGGAAGCGGUCAAAGCUGGCCUCUAUACAUAAGCUAGCACUCGAAAAUGAGCCCGCGGAGCAUCAGCUAGUUGGUGAGGUAAUGGCUCACCAAGGCUUAGACGCUUAGCUGGUCUGAGAGGAUGAUCAGCCACACUGGAACUGAGACACGGUCCAGACUCCUACGGGAGGCAGCAGUGGGAAUCUUGCGCAAUGGGCGAAAGCCUGACGCAGCGACGCCGCGUGAGUGAUGAAGGCCUUCGGGUUGUAAAGCUCUGUGGGGAGAGAAGAAUAAGUGCGGGCUAAUACUCCGCAUGAUGACGGUAUCUCCUUAGCAAGCACCGGCUAACUCUGUGCCAGCAGCCGCGGUAA
rnacentral:rRNA from 1 species